rnacentral:rRNA from 1 species
CAAUAGCGUAUAUUAAAGUUGUUGCGGUUAAAAAGCUCGUAGUUGGAUUUCUGCUGAGAACGACCGGUCCGCCCUCUGGGUGUGUAUCUGGCUCUUUCUUGGCAUCUUCUUGGUGAACGUUGCUGCACUUGACUGUGUGGAGCGCUACCCAGGACUUUUACUUUGAGGAAAUUAGAGUGUUUCAAGCAGGCAUACGCCUUGAAUACAUUAGCAUGGAAUAAUAAGAUAGGACCUCGGUUCUAUUUUGUUGGUUUCUAGAGCUGAGGUAAUGAUUAAUAGGGAUAGUUGGGGGCAUUCGUAUUUAACUGUCAGAGGUGAAAUUCUUGGAUUUGUUAAAGACGGACUACUGCGAANGNAUUUGCNAACGAUGUUUNCAUUG